CCCGAGAGCUUCUCUCUCCUCAUCCUCGCGCGGAAAUCGCCGCCGCCGCCGCACCGCCGCCGGUCGCCGCCGUCGCCGGAAUCCGGAUUUCAACCAAAAUUUCCAGAUUUUCUUCUCUUCCUUCCCUCUUUCCUUUUCUCCAACCAAAAUCAAGAAAUUUAGCCAUUUAGUCCCCAAAAACCCUAGAACCCAAAGCUAAAAUUGGGGCUUUUGUGAUUUCUUCUUUCCAAGCUCAAAUCAAGGCUAUGGGUUUGGCAAGGAUUUUUGGUGAAGAAGGCCAAGGAGAAGGUAUAUGACGUGAUUUUUGAAGGAGAAAGGGAAACAUGAUCGUUAAGGAAGCUUAAGCGGAAAGCAUCAGAGUGUGGAGUACGCCAACAUAUUCCAGGUUACAACGAGGUCAUUCCGGACGAUUUGGAUUAGAGGUGGGUCGUUGGCCGAGUCCGUGUGUUGCUGUUCCUGUUGCUUGAAGUUCUUCCCAUUUGGUACUCUAUCGAUUUACUAGCUUCUCUUUCUAUGUUGAACUCUGUGAGGUCCGCCUACCUGGGAGUGCGCCUCACCCCUUGUUGUAUUGUUAUUGUUGAACUCCCUUUCAUUUCGGUUAUGAUGUAAGCCCUAAGGCGCCACAGUGCACUUGCCACUUUAUUUUUAAGCAUGUCCAGACUUGUUAUUUUAAAUGUUGGGUUGUUGAUUUAAAGUCUUUUCUUAAAAGUUU